GGCUUAGAGUUUGAUCAUGGCUCAGGAUGAACGCUGGCGGCGUGCCUAACACAUGCAAGUCGAACGGAGAUUAACGCUGAAUUGAUAAUUAGCUUGCUAAGAGGAUUUUCUUGUUAAUCUUAGUGGCGGACGGGUGAGUAACACGUGAGCAACCUGCCUUUCAGAGGGGGAUAACGGCUGGAAACGGUCGCUAAUACCGCAUGACAUAUUCGGAUGGCAUCGUCUGAAUAUCAAAGGAGCAAUCCGCUGAAAGAUGGGCUCGCGUCUGAUUAGAUAGUUGGUGAGGUAACGGCUCACCAAGUCGACGAUCAGUAGCCGGACUGAGAGGUUGAACGGCCACAUUGGGACUGAGAUACGGCCCAGACUCCUACGGGAGGCAGCAGUGGGGAAUAUUGCACAAUGGGGGAAACCCUGAUGCAGCAACGCCGCGUGAAGGAAGACGGUUUUCGGAUUGUAAACUUCUUUUCUUAGUGAAGAAGAAAGUGACGGUAGCUAAGGAAUAAGCAUCGGCUAACUACGUGCCAGCAGCCGCGGUAAUACGUAGGAUGCAAGCGUUAUCCGGAUUUACUGGGUGUAAAGGGAGCGCAGGCGGGACUGCAAGUUGGAUGUGAAAUGCCGGGGCUCAACCCCGGAGCUGCAUCCAAAACUGUAGUUCCUGAGUGGAGUAGAGGCAAGCG
rnacentral:rRNA from 1 species